rnacentral:rRNA from 1 species
GACGAACGCUGGCGGCGUGCCUAAUACAUGCAAGUAGGACGCAGUUGCGAACGGGUGAGUAACGCGUAGGUAACUACCUAUUAGAGGGGGAUAACUAUUGGAAACGAUAGCUAAUACCGCAUACUAGUAGAUGGACCUGCGUUGUAUUAGGUAGUAGGUAGGGUAAUGGCCUACCUAGGCAACGAUACAUAGCCGACCUGAGAGGGUUGACGGCCACACUGUGACUGGGUCAGCGCCCCGACUCCCACGGGAGGCAGCAGUAGGGGAUCUUCGGCAAUGGGCGGAACCCUGACCGAGCAACGCCGGGUGAGUGAAGGAGGUUUUCGGGUCGUAAAGCUCUGUUGUUCAGGAAGCGGUACGUAACCAGAAAGGGACGGCUAACUACGUGCCAGCAGCCGCGGUAAUUC